CUUUAAUAGUGCUUUUAACAUGAGCAAUGUUGGUGAGAUGUGAGGAACUUACAUACUCUAUGCUGAGAUUAUUAAUUCAGUUUAUAUUCAGUAUGAUAAAAGCAUGCAAGGAGGAGUUUAACAAGUUCUGUGGUACAGAGCAAUCUACCCCCAGGGUGUAAGAGAGACAAAACUGAAGGUUGACAGAACAGUAGAGAUUACAUUUCAAAGUGUUUCCAACUCUCAAUACUUUGAAGAUAUGGAUUAUACCCUAAGAGUCACGAUAAGACUUAUACAAAGCCAAAAGUACAUUUUAUCUCAAGUUAUUAUGUUGCAAUUGAUUAUUCAAACGUAUUAUUUGUUUGUCACAGAUCAUGCAAAUGAAUGGUAAUGGCUGUGUGCGUUCAGAGUGUUUGCGCAGGGUGGCCUGUAGAGGGAGUACUUCAUUUUAAUCCGUGUUUGACAGGGUCCACUACAUUUCUUUCCUUGGCUCUCCUGUUGUUUGUUGAACAGUGAGAGGGAGCAGGAGAGAGUUUGAAAUGGUAAUAAGAGGGCUCCAGCUGUGCAAUGAGUUUCUUCAAGUGUCAAGACUGACGAUUAGGGUUGAAAGUGACGCUGAAAUGAUGCCUGCUUUUUGACUCGAAAAUAUAAACAAAGUUGGAGCAAAGAACUGAAGAAGCUGGAAACAGGAUACUGGCACAAAGAUAAAUGUACUGUAGUUGGGAAGAGAAGUUGUUGGGGAAGAGUGUCAGGGUUUGAAGGCUGGAAAUAGUGAAGUGAUGAAAAUAUGAUUAUUGAAAUAGAAUUUCCUAUCUUGAGAUUAGCAUGUGAAAUGUCAGGGGUCAUUUUCCUGUCUGACCAGGUUUCUUGUCCUGUUGAUCAUGAGGAAGGGUGGACUCCCCAAUCUGAGUCAUUCUUACUGAACAGGCAUCAUCACUGUAAAAAUCAUAAUUUAACCGACGCCUGUGCCCGAAAGUAACAUUUAUGAUUAUUGAAGAUUAUUUUUAGACACAAUUAUGGGAAUACAUUUUCAAAUGUACUGUUUUACAAGAAAGGCAGAAAAUAGUAAAGCACUUUUUUUUUUUCAAAUGCACGAUAGACAGUCUAAUAAAUCUGUUAAGCAUUGUAUGUGCUUAAAUUUAUUAGACCACCUGCUAUAAUAACAGAAUACACAAAUAUUUUAGGAAUCUGUCAAAAACUUGUUUAAAACUAAAAUUUGUAUUGUAAUUUAUUAGGCAAAUAACAAACUGAAAUAGUCUUUAAUCACACAUAAUAACCCAAAAAACUUAAUAUUUUGUAUGGCCUCCUUUGGCCUUGAUAACAGCUUGCAUUGCUUUUUUGUACUUUUUCACAGUCUCCGUUGUUAUUGACUGUAAUUGGGCAUAUGAUUUCUAUUAUUAUUAUUAUUAUUAAUAAUAAUGAAGUGCAUUACUAUUUUUUUUUUACUUUCUUGUAUAACAGUAAAUUUUAACAUUCAUGAAUAACAACAAUUCUAUUUUAGCAUUAGAAACAAUACUGUGACUUAAGAACUUACACAUACUGGUGGAUUAAUCAUUAAAGAAACAUUAAAAAUUAUUUUGGUAAUUUCCAAUACUGUUAGUUUAGGGCAGCUGUGGC
ensembl:lncRNA